CGAGCGCCGCCGCGGUGCUGGCGAGUGUGAAAAAAGAGGAGGAGGGUUGCGCCCUCAGCGUCUGUCAACAGAACCCUCUUCACCUGUGGUUAAACCCUCCCUAGCCAUGAGCUCGUGCUCCCCUCCCUGUGGACGCAGACCUGACCGUAGAAGCCCUGCAGCACUCACUGGGGGCUUGAGGGAGCCCCUGAGUCUCCUCCACCCUCGCUGCCUUUUCCUGGAUGCCCAGGAAAUGUCUCCAAGGGAGGCUGUGACCCAGGACCCCGCUUCGACCUCACCUUCUUCUGUAAGGCGCAGUGAAAGACGAAGAUGAAGACCCCCUGGAAGGCGUUGAAGGUGGUGAAGAGAUAGGCCAUGACCACCGACUCCUUGUUGAUGAAGAGGAGGCCGAAAGCCCAGGUGAGGCCCAGCAGGAACAGCAGCGCAAUGGCCCCCAGAGCCCAGGAUCUGGGGGUGGGGCGAUAGAGGUGUCAAAGUACCCACCAGAGGGGACGGCCUCAGCCCGGGCCUCCCCUGCAGCCUACAAAGGGGGCCCUUGGGUGGGCCUGGGCACUGUCUGCAAAGCCCUGAGCAGGCUGAGUGGGCCUUAGGGGCACUGGCCUGCCCAGGAUGCCUCCACCCCAGCCUGGGCCUGAGGGAAAGGUACUGGGUCGGGGUAUUGUGAACAUCAGUCGUUCCUCUGCCACCUUCAUUGUUUCUGCCAAAUUUCCAGACCACUGAGGCUACAUUUGCUGCCUAUUUCUCUUUAAAUUGCCCUUAAACACACUCACCUGUUGAA